GAUGAAGAACACAGCGAACGUGCGAAACGUAAUGUGAAUUGCAGAAUUCAGUGAAUCAUCGAAUCUUUGAACGCAUCUUGCGCUCCUUGGUAUUCCGAGGAGCAUGCCUGUUUGAGUGUCGUGAAUACUCUCAACUUCAACCCUUUUUUCGGAAAGGGAGGAAGGUUGGACUUGGGUGUUUGUUGAAGUGCGAGCUUCGACUCAUCCUAAAUGCAUUAGCGAUCUGCCUCGAUCACACACAAUGUGAUAAUUAAAACUAAAGCAUUGUUUAAUGAUCAAGUCGAGACUGCUUCUAACUGUCGCAAGACAAUAACGUGCAUACAUUUGUGCAUGUCAUUUGACCUCAAAUCAGGUAGGACUACCCGCUGAACUUAAGCAUAUCAAUAAGCGGAGGA
rnacentral:misc_RNA from 1 species